CGGCCCAGACUCCUACGGGAGGCAGCAGUAGGGAAUCUUCCGCAAUGGACGAAAGUCUGACGGAGCAACGCCGCGUGAGUGAUGAAGGCUUUCGGGUCGUAAAACUCUGUUGUUAGGGAAGAACAAGUGCUAGUUGAAUAAGCUGGCACCUUGACGGUACCUAACCAGAAAGCCACGGCUAACUACGUGCCAGCAGCCGCGGUAA
rnacentral:rRNA from 1 species